rnacentral:rRNA from 1 species
GGCUAACUCCGUGCCAGCAGCCGCGGUAAUACGGAGGGUGCGAGCGUUAAUCGGAAUUACUGGGCGUAAAGCGCAUGCAGGUGGUUUGUUAAGUCAGAUGUGAAAGACCCGGGGCUCAACCUCGGAAUAGCAUUUGAAACUGGCAGACUAGAGUACUGUAGAGGGGGGGUAGGAAUUUCAGGUGUAGCGGUGAAAUGCGUAGAGAUCUGAAGGAAUACCGGUGGCGAAGGCGGCCCCCCUGGACAGAUACUGACACUCAGAUGCGAAAGCGUGGGGAGCAAACAGGAUUAGAUACCCUGGUAG